rnacentral:rRNA from 1 species
CCUACGGGAGGCAGCAGUGAGGAAUAUUGGUCAAUGGGCGGGAGCCUGAACCAGCCAAGUCGCGUGAGGGAAGACGGUCCUAUGGAUUGUAAACCUCUUUAGGCGGGGAGCAAUGCCGGGCACGCGUGUCCGGAGGGAGAGUACCCGCAGAAUAAGCAUCGGCUAACUCCGUGCCAGCAGCCGCGGUAAUACGGAGGAUGCGAGCGUUAUCCGGAUUCAUUGGGUUUAAUGGGUGCGCAGGCGGGGGGACAAGGC